AGGUCUUCCGUCUUGGAUACAACGGCAGUUCAGCUUCAGCGGCAGAAGCGGCGACUUCAGGAGCGACAUCAGUAGCAACGCAGUCUCCUUAGAGCGACGAUGGAGAGAGGCAACGGUCGCAGCUCCUCCAACAUCAUUGCCCGGACUCCCCCUGUUCAUCGGGGGGAGUCCACCGUCCCCUGGGACUGCGCGGCCUCCCACCGCCCCCGGGGUCCCAGGGGACCCAGUCCCCG
rnacentral:misc_RNA from 1 species